AUUGAACGCUGGCGGCAUGCUUUACACAUGCAAGUCGAACGGUAACAGGCCUUCGGGUGCUGACGAGUGGCGAACGGGUGAGUAAUGCAUCGGAACGUACCCAGAGGUGGGGGAUAACGCAGCGAAAGCUGUGCUAAUACCGCAUGUGAUCUGAGGAUGAAAGCGGGGGACCGAGCAGCAAUGUUUGGCCUCGCGCCUUUGGAGCGGCCGAUGUCGGAUUAGCUAGUUGGUGGGGUAAAGGCCUACCAAGGCGACGAUCCGUAGCUGGUCUGAGAGGACGACCAGCCACACUGGGACUGAGACACGGCCCAGACUCCUACGGGAGGCAGCAGUGGGGAAUUUUGGACAAUGGGCGCAAGCCUGAUCCAGCAAUGUCGCGUGCGGGAAGAAGGCCUUCGGGUUGUAAACCGCUUUUGGCAGGAACGAAACGGUGUCCGCUAAUACCGGGCGCUAAUGACGGUACCUGCAGAAUAAGCACCGGCUAACUACGUG
rnacentral:rRNA from 1 species